rnacentral:lncRNA from 1 species
GAAAUCGAAAACCUCAUCUAUGUCAAUCCUUCUACUGUCCUUCCAGCACGCCCGCCUUCUCCUCCUCGUGCUGCCAUUCCUGUUUCAUCUUCUCCCUUCAUGCCUUCCAAUCUCCGCCCACAACCUCCUACUACGACUACGACGACAACCACCAACCACAAACCACCGACACCUGUCCCUUCCAUUCCAUCUCCGCCUCCGCUACCUUUAUCGGGACAGUCGAUUAUAGCCGCAACCGGUUUUGGAUCUCCGCCCAAUACCCUUACGGAGCCGGUUU